rnacentral:rRNA from 1 species
CCUACGGGGGGCAGCAGUGAGGAAUAUUGGUCAAUGGGCGCGAGCCUGAACCAGCCAAGUCGCGUGAAGGAUGACUGCCCUACGGGUUGUAAACUUCUUUUAUAAAGGAAUAAAGUGAGGCACGUGUGCCUUUUUGUAUGUACUUUAUGAAUAAGGAUCGGCUAACUCCGUGCCCGCAGCCGCGGUAAUACGGAGGAUCCGAGCGUUAUCCGGAUUUAAUGGGGUUAAAGGGAGCGUAGAUGGGUUGUUAAGGCAGAUGUGAAAGUUUGUGGCUCAACCAUAAAAAUGCAAUUGAUACUGGCAAACUUGAGUACAGUAGAGGUGGGCGGAAUUCGAGGUGUAGCGGUGAAAUGCGUAGAUAUCACGAAGAACUCCGAUUGCGAAGGCAGCCUACUAAACUGCCACUGACAUUGAUGCUCGAAAGUGUGGGUAUCAAACAGGAUUAGAUACCCGGGUAGUC